rnacentral:rRNA from 1 species
GACGAACGCUGGCGGCGUGCUUAACACAUGCAAGUCGAACGGAAAGGCCCGGAUUGUGUGGGGUGCUCGAGUGGCGAACGGGGGAGUAACACGUGAGUAACCUGCCCUUGACUGGGGGAGAACGUGAGGAAACUGGGGCGAAUACCGGAUAGGAGAGCGGGGUGCAUGGUGGGGGUUGGAAAGGUUCGGCGGUUGGGGAUGGACUCGCGGGGGAUCAGCUUGUUGGUGGGGUAGUGGCUUACCAAGGCUUUGACGGGUAGCCGGCCUGAGAGGGUGAGCGGCCACCUUGCGACUGAGAUACGCCCCAGACUCCUACGGGAGGCAGCAGUGGGGAAUAUUGCACAAUGGGCGGAAGCCUGAUGCAGCAACUCCGCGUGCGGGAUGACGGCCUUCGGGUUGUAAACCUCUUUCGCCUGUGACGAAGCGUGAGUGACGGUAAUGGGUAAAGAAGCACCGGCUAACUACGUG